rnacentral:ncRNA from 2 species
CCUAAAUAAGGCAAUGAUGUCUGCCCUAAACCGCUUUAAGAAGCUGAUGACGUCUACUUUAGA